CUUGUUUUGAGGUUGAAUUAAACAUUUUAAUCCACUGUGAAUGCUCCCUUACCAAAAACCAGUUUAACUGUUUUAGGUUGACUUGUAACAAAAAAAAAACGUCUUCUCAGUAUCACCAACGAACUGACUGAAUCCCUAACUCAUACAGCUCCAGGGAAAGACCUGGUUUGAGUCACAGAGUGGAUAAUUGACUCGAUGCUGCAUUUGACUUUGGUGAUCCUCAGAGAGAGAGGACAUUUGAGUCAGCUACAGUUGGGUGACAUUGUCAAGUGCCCAGCCAGCCGUGCCAGGGGCACAGGUGUGGUUGGCAGUGCCUGUUCACAUCCAGAUCUUAAGCUCUGCCGCAGCAGCCUCUUAUUUCUGUGCCCAGGGGCAGGAGACUUACCAUUCUUCUGAAGGACAAUAAGCAAAGAGAAAUCAAAGUGCAGAAGGGAAGAUAUAAGCCAAGAUGAUGCAGGGAAAAAAAAUGGAGGAAAACAUAGAGACAGAAGGAAGGACUGACUGCCAUAAAGCAAAGGAAAACUUUCAAAGUGUAGUGUAAAGGAUGUCCCUACCUGGAAGACUCAGCUGGGGGGGAAUGGACCUGCAGGAGCUGCAGGGAAGUGACUGCAUUGCCUUCAGGCUGAACAGGAAGCUGAUCACAGAUUUCCCAUUUCCUAGGCAAUGUAUUUCAGGCUGCAAUUAAGACCUGGCAGUGGAAAAAAGAACAAUAACAAGAAAUUGAAUCAGUCAUUUGUUUGAAAGUAAGACAAAAGCAACGUAACAUCCUUUUCCUCGCCAGGAAGUUAUCACUGUCAAAUUUGGAACAGGCUAACCUCCUUCCUACAGGAUUGCUUUUGUGCCAGAUCUGCUGUAUUACUCUCUGCUCUUCAUUGCUGGAGUCCACACUGACCCAGCUAUCACAUAAUUAUGAAAAACAGGACAUGAGCAACAAUAACUACAAAGGCCCAGAAAGGAAGUUACAGCAUCAUGACCAUUUGCCACUUAUACAAAGACUUGCUCCAGGAAGACAGAUGCACGGCUUGGGAAAUGCUGUGCUGCUGUGGGACUCAGAGGAGCUCAUCCAGUGCAUCGUUUGUCCAGAUUCCAGACUUGAAACAACGUCUAGAGGAAAUGUAACAGUCUGUGAUAUUCAGAGGAGACUAGACAGCCCAGAAGCCUUCCUGCUUUUAGAGUGUGUGACAAUUUGUUCUUUGAUUUUUUUCAUGUUAAGUUUCUCACCACUGCAAAGCAAGGAAGAAGCAAUGAAGCUGGGAGCAGUGCUCAUGCUGACAUGUUUUGAAACAGCAGUCUCUUGUAAAUUAAUGAAGGCCCCACUUGACACCUCACAAACAGGGCAGGAGGCAUGCUGCUACGCACAUUCAUGCCCCUCUAUUUAAUGCACCAAGCUUGUCACUCAAGUCCCUGACCUGGGAGUGAGCUGCCCCUGACCUGCAUGCAGCAGGUGAAUCCCCUGGGAGAUGGGCUUCUUGCUUGGAGCCCACACUGCUGGCUUGUUCAGGAAAGAGACAGAGAGCACACACCCCCUUCUAUCAUCUGGAAGGGAGAUCCUACAAGGAAUCCCUGACUCUCCAGGCCAAGGUACAACUUGUAUGUGUGACUCUGAGUGCAUACAGGUGCCAUGAGAUACAGCCCUUUCCAGCCUGGCUUUCGUGGGUGAUGCAGUGUCACUGAAGGAGCAGGCGUGGGUCCCAGCAGGCAUCAGGGAAUGUCUGUGCCUCUGGGGAACUCAGACUGAGCAUCAGUCAGACCGUGUCUGCAGAAGUGUUAUAGCCCAAUACAUACAAGCCUCUGCGGUGGCUUGGUUCCCGUGUGCCCACAUUGCCCAAAGCCCCUGUGGCAGGUGUGUC